AACGAACGCUGGCGGCGUGCCUAACACAUGCAAGUCGAACGUGAUUGGAAGCUUGCUUCCAUGAAAGUGGCGCACGGGUGAGUAACGCGUAGAUAAUCUGCCUGAUGAUCUGGGAUAACACUUCGAAAGGGGUGCUAAUACCGGAUAAGCCCACGGGGUCUUUGGACUCUGCGGGAAAAGGAGGGGACCUUCGGGCCUUCUGUCAUCAGAUGAGUCUGCGUACCAUUAGCUAGUUGGUAGGGUAAAGGCCUACCAAGGCGACGAUGGUUAGCUGGGCUGAGAGGAUGAUCCGCCACACUGGAACUGAGACACGGUCCAGACUCCUACGGGAGGCAGCAGUGGGGAAUUUUGCGCAAUGGGCGAAAGCCUGACGCAGCAACGCCGCGUGAGUGAUGAAGGCUCUUGGGUCGUAAAGCUCUGACAGAGGGAAAGAAGUGUGGGGAGGCUAAUACCCUUUUCACUUGACGGUACCCUCAAAGGAAGCACCGGCUAACUCCGUGCCAGCCGCCGCAGUAAAAC
rnacentral:rRNA from 1 species